rnacentral:rRNA from 1 species
UACGGGGGAGCAAGCGUUGUUCGGAUUUACUGGGCGUAAGGGCGGGUAGGCGGCCACUGCAAGUCGGUUGUGAAAUCUCCGGGCUUAACUCGGAAAGGUCAAUCGAUACUGCAGGCUAGAGUGCAGAAGGGGCAACUGGAAUUCUCGGUGUAGCGGUGAAAUGCGUAGAUAUCGAGAGGAACACCGAUGGCGAAGGCAGGUCUCUGGGCCGAUACUGACGCUGAGGCGCGAAAGCGUGGGGAGCAAACAGG